UUAGUGGCGGACGGGUGAGUAACGCGUGGGUAACCUGCCCUGUACAGGGGGACAACAGCCGGAAACGGCUGCUAAUACCGCAUAAGCCUGCGGGGCCGCAUGGCCCGGCAGGAAAAGCUGCGGCGGUACAGGAUGGGCCCGCGUCUGAUUAGCCAGUUGGCGGGGUAACGGCCCACCAAAGCAACGAUCAGUAGCCGGCUUGAGAGAGCGAACGGCCACAUUGGGACUGAGACACGGCCCAAACUCCUACGGAAGGCAGCAG
rnacentral:rRNA from 1 species